AAUCCCAUCAGCAACCAGACUCAACAUCUGGACAUCACUCAACUCUGUCAACCUUGUCCAGUUGAAGUAUCAGUGAUGGAGGGAGAUUCAGUCACUAUAAACCCUGAUCUUACUGAAAUAAAGGAUGAUAAUGUGAUUCAGUGGAAGUUUGGACCUACAACCACAAUAGCUGAAAUAAUAGCUGAAAUCAAUAAACAGACCGACAGAAUCACUGUAUAUGAUGAUGUUCUUGAUGAGAGAUUCAGAGACAGACUGAAGCUGGACAAUCAAACUGGAUCUCUGACCAUCACAGACACCAGACAUGAACAUGAUGGAGUUUAUUACGCAGUGAUAAAUGGAGCAAUAUUGUCACUUCAAUCUUUUAGAGUUUCUGUCUACUCUCGUCUGCCUGUUCCUGUCAUCAGCAGUAACUCUUCACAAUGUUCAUCAUCAUCAUC